ACAUCCAGAGACUUAGCAGAGAUGCUUUGGUGCCUUCGGGAACUCUGAGACAGGUGCUGCAUGGCUGUCGUCAGCUCGUGUUGUGAAAUGUUGGGUUAAGUCCCGNAACGAGCGCAACCCUUAUCCUUUGUUGCCAGCGGUUCGGCCGGGAACUCAAAGGAGACUGCCGGUGAUAAACCGGAGGAAGGUGGGGAUGACGUCAAGUCAUCAUGGCCCUUACGGCCAGGGCUACACACGUGCUACAAUGGCGCAUACAAAGAGAAGCGACCUCGCGAGAGCAAGCGGACCUCAUAAAGUGCGUCGUAGUCCGGAUUGGAGUCUGCAACUCGACUCCAUGAAGUCGGAAUCGCUAGUAAUCGUAGAUCAGAAUGCUACGGUGAAUACGUUCCCGGGCCUUGUACACACCGCCCGUCACACCAUGGGAGUGGGUUGCAAAAGAAGUAGGUAGCUUAACCUUCGGGAGGGCGCUUACCACUUUGUGAUUCAUGACUGGGGUGAAGUCGUAACAAGGUAAGCGUAGCGAG
rnacentral:rRNA from 1 species